rnacentral:rRNA from 1 species
AUUGAACGCUGGCGGCAUGCCUUACACAUGCAAGUUGAACGGCAGCACGGGAGCAAUCCUGGUGGCGAGUGGCGAACGGGUGAGUAACAUAUCGGAACGUGCCCAGUAAUGGGGGAUAGCCCGGCGAAAGCCGGAUUAAUACCGCAUACGACCUUAGGGUGAAAGCGGGGGACUCGCAAGGGCCUCGCGUUAUUGGAGCGGCCGAUAUCAGAUUAGCUAGUUGGUGGGGUAAAGGCUUACCAAGGCGACGAUCUGUAGCUGGUCUGAGAGGACGACCAGCCACACUGGGACUGAGACACGGCCCAGACUCCUACGGGAGGCAGCAGUGGGGAAUUUUGGACAAUGGGCGCAAGCCUGAUCCAGCCAUGCCGCGUGUGGGAAGAAGGCCUUCGGGUUGUAAACCACUUUUGUCAGGGAAGAAACGGCUCUUACUAAUAUUAGGGGCUAAUGACGGUACCUGAAGAAUAAGCACCGGCUAACUACGUGCCAGCAGCCGCGGUAAUACGUAGGGUGCAAGCGUUAAUCGGAAUUACUGGGCGUAAAGCGUGCGCAGGCGGCUUUGCAAGACAGAUGUGAAAUCCCCGGGCUCAACCUGGGAACUGCAUUUGUGACUGCAUGGCUGGAGUACGGUAGAGGGGGAUGGAAUUCCGCGUGUAGCAGUGAAAUGCGUAGAUAUGCGGAGGAACACCGAUGGCGAAGGCAAUCCCCUGGACCUGUACUGACGCUCAUGCACGAAAGCGUGGGGAGCAAACAGGAUUAGAUACCCUGGUAGUCCACGCCCUAAACGAUGUCAACUGGUUGUUGGACGGCUUGCUGUUCAGUAACGAAGCUAACGCGUGAGGUUGACCGCCUGGGGAGUACGGCCGCAAGGUUGAAACUCAAAGGNAAUUGACGGGGACCCGCACAAGCGGUGGAUGAUGUGGUUUAAUUCGAUGCAACGCGAAAAACCUUACCUACCCUUGACAUGUCAGAGAUCCUGCAGAGAUGCGGGAGUGCUCGAAAGAGAAUCUGAACACAGGUGCUGCAUGGCCGUCGUCAGCUCGUGUCGUGAGAUGUUGGGUUAAGUCCCGCAACGAGCGCAACCCUUAUCAUUAGUUGCUACGCAAGGGCACUCUAAUGAGACUGCCGGUGACAAGCCGGAGGAAGGUGGGGAUGACGUCAGGUCAUCAUGGCCCUUAUGGGUAGGGCUACACACGUCAUACAAUGGCCGGUACAGAGGGCUGCCAACCCGCGAGGGGGAGCUAAUCUCAGAAAACCGGUCGUAGUCCGGAUCGCAGUCUGCAACUCGACUGCGUGAAGUCGGAAUCGCUAGUAAUCGCGGAUCAGCUUGCCGCGGUGAAUACGUUCCCGGGUCU